UACGUAGGGGGCAAGCGUUGUCCGGAUUUAUUGGGCGUAAAGAGCGUGUAGGCGGUUUGGUAGGUCCGCUGUGAAAACUCGAGGCUCAACCUCGAGACGCCGGUGGAAACCAUCAGGCUAGAGUCCGGAAGAGGAGAGUGGAUUUCCUGGUGUAGCGGUGAAAUGCGCAGAUAUCAGGAAGAACACCCGUGGCUAAGGCGGCUCUCUAGUACGGUACUGACGCUGAGACGCGAAAGCGUGGGGAGCGAACAGG
rnacentral:rRNA from 1 species